AGUGAACGCUGGCGGUAGGCCUAACACAUGCAAGUCGAACGGCAGCACAGUAAGAGCUUGCUCUUACGGGUGGCGAGUGGCGGACGGGUGAGGAAUACAUCGGAAUCUACUUUUUCGUGGGGGAUAACGUAGGGAAACUUACGCUAAUACCGCAUACGACCUACGGGUGAAAGCAGGGGAUCUUCGGACCUUGCGCGAUUGAAUGAGCCGAUGUCGGAUUAGCUAGUUGGCGGGGUAAAGGCCCACCAAGGCGACGAUCCGUAGCUGGUCUGAGAGGAUGAUCAGCCACACUGGAACUGAGACACGGUCCAGACUCCUACGGGAGGCAGCAGUGGGGAAUAUCGGACAAUGGGCGCAAGCCUGAUCCAGCCAUACCGCGUGGGUGAAGAAGGCCUGCGGGUUGUAAAGCCCUUUUGUUGGGAAAGAAAAGCAGCAGGUUAAUACCCCGCUGUUCUGACGGUACCCAAAGAAUAAGCACCGGCUAACUUCGU
rnacentral:rRNA from 1 species